rnacentral:rRNA from 1 species
AGUGAACGCUGGCGGCGUGCCUAAUACAUGCAAGUCGAACGGAGUGGCGCACGGGUGAGUAAUAUAUACUAAUCUGCCCCUUGCUGGAGGACAACAGUUAGAAAUGACUGCUAAUACUCCAUAGCAAGGGAUGAGACUAUAUCGUAUCAGUUAGUUGUGGGGGUAGAGGCCUACCAAGGCGACUAUCCGUAACUGGUCUGAGAGGAUGAUCAGGCACGCUGGAGCUGAGAAACGGUCCAGGCUCCUACGUGAGGCAGCAGUGGGGAAAAUUGGACAAUGGGCGAAGGCAUGAUCAAGCCAUGCGGCGUGUGGGAAGAAGGUCUUCGGAUUGUAAAGAACUUUAAGUUGGGAGGCGUUACCAACAGAAUAAGAACCGGCUAAAUUAGUGCGAGCAGCCGCGGUAAUAC